CGGUCGGCGGAGGACUACGAGUUGAGUUUUGGGUCUGUGUGUCUACGGUGAACGAGUGCUAGCGCUGUAAUAAUGGCUGAUAGAGAAGGUGGAGAGGAUAACCCCCAGCCGGGUCAGCCAAGUUAUGAAUCCACGCAUCCCGACUUGCCAGGAUUCAUGGGAGAGGAGGAGGAGGGUAUGUAUUGCUUCUGGAGUGUUUGUAGCUCAACACUGGCCUAGUUGUUUUUGCUAGUGGUUGUGAGGUGUCUCAAGGUAGAGUGGAGGCUGGAAAAUCUCUUUCCGAUCCCAGUACCUGUGCACAGGUAAUCGGGAGAGUGGGAAGAGUGAUUCCCUUAGGGCGUUUAAAAUUUGAAUGGUGGAGGGACAGGAAAACGGAAUGCCUUGUUCAUUACGUGGUUUGGGUAUAUUACAUUAUAGUGUCUUCUCAUUCUUUUAUGGUGUUAAUAUUUUGUUUAUUUACCAUACAUCGAGGCGAAGAUGCAUAUGAAGGUUUGGCCCCUCAGUAGCCCCUCAAUUGCCAAACCAAUGGCACAAUAGUAUUUCAGUUAAUGAUCAUCACUAAACUUGCCAUCGGCCAAUCUGACACCCAAGUAAUCAGUCAUCUCCAUCCCGAAAAGGACAUCUUCGCCUCGAAAAAACAGAGUAUAGCGUGUU